AGCGGCGGACGGGUGAGUAAUGUCUAGGAAUCUGCCUGGUAGAGGGGGAUAACGUCCGGAAACGGGCGCUAAUACCGCAUACGUUCUGAAGGAGAAAGUGGGGGAUCUUCGGACCUCACGCUAUCAGAUGAGCCUAGAUGGGAUUAGCUAGUUGGUGGGGUAAAGGCUUACCAAGGCGACGAUCCGUAACUGGUCUGAGAGGAUGAUCAGUCACACUGGAACUGAGACACGGUCCAGACUCCUACGGGAGGCAGCAGUGGGGAAUAUUGGACAAUGGGCGAAAGCCUGAUCCAGCCAUGCCGCGUGUGUGAAGAAGGUCUUCGGAUUGUAAAGCACUUUAAGUUGGGAGGAAGGGCAGUAAGUUAAUACCUUGCUGGUUUGACGUUACCAACAGAAUAAGCACCGGCUAACUUCGUGCCAGCAGCCGCGGUAAUACGAAGGGUGCAAGCGUUAAUCGGAAUUACUGGGCGUAAAGCGCGCGCAGGCGGUUCAGCAAGUUGGAUGUGAAAUCCCCGGGCUCAACCUGGGAACUGCAUCCAAAACUAGCUGAGUUAGAGUACGGUAGAGGGUGGUAGAAUUCCACUGUGUAGCGGUGAAAUGCGUAGAUAUACGGAAGGAAUCACCAGUGGCGAAGGCGACCCCCCCUGGACAUGAGUACUGAGCACUGCAGGUGCGAAAUGCGUGGG
rnacentral:rRNA from 1 species